ACAAUUUUCGGACCGUCGGUCUACCGGGCAAUUUCACCAGCUCGGAGCGAGACUUGCCUUUUGUCAU
rnacentral:pre_miRNA from 1 species